UACAGGGGGGGCAAGCGUUGUUCGGAAUUACUGGGCGUAAAGGGCUCGUAGGCGGCCAACUAAGUCAGACGUGAAAUCCCUCGGCUUAACCGGGGAACUGCGUCUGAUACUGGAUGGCUUGAGUUUGGGAGAGGGAUGCGGAAUUCCAGGUGUAGCGGUGAAAUGCGUAGAUAUCUGGAGGAACACCGGUGGCGAAGGCGGCAUCCUGGACCAACACUGACACUGAGGAGCGAAAGCCAGGGGAGCAAACGGG
rnacentral:rRNA from 1 species